NNNCGACUCUCGGCAACGGAUAUCUCGGCUCUCGCAUCGAUGAAGAACGUAGCGAAAUGCGAUACUUGGUGUGAAUUGCAGAAUCCCGUGAACCAUCGAGUCUUUGAACGCAAGUUGCGCCCGAAGCCUUCGGGCCGAGGGCACGCCUGCCUGGGCGUCACGCA
rnacentral:rRNA from 1 species